GAUGAACGCUAGCUACAGGCUUAACACAUGCAAGUCGAGGGGUAACGAGAGGAAAGCUUGCUUUCCUUGUCGACGACCGGCGCAUGGGUGAGUAACGCGUAUCCAACCUGCCCCCAACUAAGGAAUAACCUUGCGAAAGUAAGACUAAUACCUUAUAAUUUCCUCAGAUGACAUCUGACGAGGAAUAAAGAUUUAUCGGUUGUGGAUGGGGAUGCGUCUGAUUAGCUUGUUGGCGGGGUAACGGCCCACCAAGGCAACGAUGAGUAGGGGUUCUGAGAGGAAGGUCCCCCACAUUGGAACUGAGACACGGUCCAAACUCCUAGGGGAGGCAGCAGUGAGGAGUAUUGGUCAAUGGGCGGAGGCCUGAACCCGCCAAGUAGCGUGCAGGAUGACGGCCCUAUGGGUUGUAAACUGCUUUUAUACAGGAAUAAAGUUAGCCACGUGUGGUUAUUUGUAGGUACUGUAUGAAUAAGGACCGGCUAAUUCCGUGCCAGCCGCCGCCGUAA
rnacentral:rRNA from 1 species